UUGGCGGCAAAGCACUAAAAUUUUCCCGCCUUCAAAACUUGGCAAAAGCCAUUUCUUCUAUGCUGCUCUUCAAUCUCCGUCGCUGAAAUAGUAGCAGGAUGCAGAUCCGCUUGAAGUGCAGCUGCGGGGCGGAAGAAUGCCGGGAAUGGGCUAUCAUAGAGCUACAGGGUGUGGUGGAAUCACAUCCAUCCAUCGGUGAAAAUCUCCAAAAUCUCGAGAUCGGUCGCCUCUGCUGCGUCUCCAAAGGAAACUACACAUUUACAGUCGGCUACCACGAGCUUUCGGGAACGAAAGUGGCUCUCAAGAAGCCUUUGCUAGUGCUUAGGAAGAAGAAGGUUGAAGCUGCGUGCGAGUCGGAUUAUGCUGAUCCUUCGGGGGUAGAAUUGGAAGUUAUCGGAAUAAUUCGUGAUCGAAUUAUCUUCAAGACACGUCCCAAGGCUCUGAUUUCAAAGCCGCAGGUAAAGGAUAAGAAGGCAGUUCAAUGAUCCGAAGAGCAAAAGGUGCCUUGCUUUCUAAUGCAACCAGUGUAUAUUUCUUCCUUGACUAUUAUAAAAUCAGCAAAAGGCCGUUGAAUAUCAAUCUGUUCUGAAGGUGUUUAUGGACAGCCCCCUCCUCACUUCUUGGCCUCGAAAACCUCCAGACCUUGAGGAUUUUAAGCCUUGCAAUAUGAAGACCCACAUUCAGUGCACAAGAAGUUAAAACAUAGUUUUUUUAUUUAUUUAUUACUAAUUCAUUAACCUCCUCCUUGUUGUUGUGGUUGGCAAAAAAGUUUGUCGAACAAUUCGUGUUCCACGUGUUAAGUAGCUUGUGUUUGA